UACGAAGGGGGCUAGCGUUGCUCGGAAUCACUGGGCGUAAAGCGCACGUAGGCGGAUCUUUAAGUCAGGGGUGAAAUCCCAAGGCUCAACCUUGGAACUGCCUUUGAUACUGGGGAUCUCGAGUCCGGAAGAGGUUGGUGGAACUGUGAGUGUAGAGGUGAAAUUCGUAGAUAUUCGCAAGAACACCAGUGGCGAAGGCGGCCAACUGGUCCGGUACUGACGCUGAGGUGCGAAAGCGUGGGGAGCAAACAGG
rnacentral:rRNA from 1 species